AAAAAUUUGUAAUAGUUCAUGGACCCAGAUAUAAUUUUCAUAUUUACAAUUAUUGCCAUUUUAUAUUUAAAAAAAAAAAUAAGGUUUCUUUGUUUGGGAGGCUCGGGACGUAGUUUCCGGCGAAGGUAAGAUCUGCGUUUGUGGAGAUUGAGUAACGUUGUUAACGAUUCGAUUAGGAGUAAACUAAAGGAAGUGCUCUACUAAAUUUCUCUAUUUCUCGGCGAAUCGACGGACGGCGACAUAUGUCUCUUCAAAUCGACGGCUUAUUAGUAGAUAAAGAUUCGAACGAGAUUGGGAAGACGUAGCAGAGAGAGAAGAGGCGCGUGGCGACUCCCGGUGAAGGUUACCAAUUUCAUUGUCCUGUUUAGUUUUUUUUUCGUUUCGGCGAGGUGACGACGGAGACGGAGACGGAGACGGUCCAUGGAUUUCAGAUGUGAUUGUGGUUGCGUUCAGUACAUCGAAAAAGACAAACGUCGAUAGUGUUGUCCCCUUUGGUUUCAUGGGAGAAAGAGAAAGAUGAUUUCCAACUUGAGGCUCUUCUUCCUCAAAACAUUAUUGUCAGCAGUAAGUGGUAUGUUUAAAGAUUCUUCUUUCAUUGUUCUACUGGUUUUUAAUCUUUACUUCUUGAUUUUUGUUUCUGUAUUCUGGUAUGCUUUGUGUACUAGGGGUCUACAUCGUUAGUUUCAAACUUUCAAUACGUAUGUACUAUUUGUUAUUGUGAUGUUUAAUGAAGUAUGUAUUGGUAUUUCAGCUUGAUUACUAUCUUUAUAAUCA